rnacentral:lncRNA from 1 species
GGGCAGCCUCUGAGCAGCUCCCCCAGGACGGAAGCGAAGGCUGCAGGCGGGGCUUGGGUCAGGCUCCUGGGAGAAGCAGUGACGAGGCUGGGUGCCUGCAGGAAGACCCUCAGCUGGCUGCAUGUUCAGCCCUGCAGGUGGGUCGUGCUCCUGGGAGGAGCAGCGAUGAGGCUGAGUGCCUGUAGGAAGACCCGUGGCUGGCCGCAUGUUCAGCCCUGCAGGGUUAGGUAAUUUUGUGCCCAGCAGAGCAGGGCGGUGCUCUGUCCUCUGGGAAAUACUGCCUUCCUGGAAUGUUCCCUCCAACCCAGAGUGCUGAGAAGGCUGGCAGGAUAGAGGCCAGAACAUGUCUGACGUCAGCGCCAGCCUGGACGGAGAGCUCGGAUCCCAGAGAAGGCUGAGCACAGGGAGGAGAGGGGCAUGGGCCUCUGCAUUUGAGCUGCUCUCGUCCUGAAGUUUGUGCCCUGGGCCCUGUGAGAACUCAGGGGCCAGCCUGUGACACCCCGGCCAGGCCAUGCGAGGGUGGCGCCGGGACGCCGCCCUCUGCGGCUCCUUUGGGGAGCACUGACCAGCACUCAGGGAUGGAUCCGUGCAGCGAGUUGUCGAGAGGAGAGAGUGGAGGAGGACUCCGCAGUAUCCCGGCUGAUGCAUAUUGAGUCAUCCAGAGGAGAGAGAGGGGGAGGACUCCGCAGUAUCCCGGCUGAUGCAUAAUUUGUUCUUCUUAUGCAUUUUACCACCAUUUUGGCUAGCAUUUGGUGCUUCAAGGAACAGCUGUUAGAAGCGAAAAUCAGAGAAAAAGGCAUUUGCGUUUCAAAGGCUUCGCUUUGUGGAUGACACAUCCCAGAGAUAGGAGGAACUCCUGGCAGCAGCCAUAGAUUUGGAAGGAUGCAUCCCCAUCAGGUAGCGGUGGAGGAAUCUCCAGGGAGGAGACAGAGAAGGGAGAGGACAGGAGGGAGAGGAGUAAGGGGUUUGGAUGCCUGUGGGUCCUCAGAGAGUGGCCUGAGAGCCAGACUUUCUCCCUUUCCCCUGAGAGCAACAUGGAGCUGGGGAAAGAGACCUCAGACACGCCACUCCCCUGCCUUCCUGAUGGCGACAGACACAGAGAGGCCUCAGGGCUGGGAGCCGGGAAGGUGGAGGAGCUGCCCAUGAGGCUGGUGCUUUGGCAGGGAAAGGGGCCCCCCAGGAGCUGCCACCUGCCCCAAAGGUGCACCUGGGAUGAAGAUGGGGGGGAGGCACCACAGCGACCUAGUUAUGGCGAGCAAGCUCUCACCAUACAGUAGAGGAGGAGACAGAAAUUAGUUCAGUUACAGAAAACAGAUACAUUGGUAGAAUUUACAUGUUAUAACAUAAUUCCAUUAAAAAGUUGGCAUACUCCUGAAAACCUACUUACUCUUCCCUUAAGAAUCAAGUAAUAUUAUGUUUAUUAGAAAUUAUUUGGAGAAAUCAAAAGAUUGGAAUUACAGUCUUAGCUUCACACUAAUUAUGAGAACGUCAAAGUUUUUUGUUUGUUUAAUUGAGAUUAAUUCACAUAUGGGAACCCGCUUUUAAAAGAUCAGGUUCCCCAUCUCUUUAUUGGAUAUAAGAAUGAUCCUAUUUGUUUGUACUGUUAAUUUUUUGUUUGUAUAUUGGUUUUCCCUAUAAAAUUAUAACAGGCUAAGUUUCUUGGGACAGAGACUGUCUUGAAAUUUUUAUUUCUCUGAAGAUCCUAGCGCAGUGGCUGGAUAGUCCCCUUCCAGUGGGCAGAAUGCUAAGGUGGCCCCAAAGUCUCCCCGUGUGCACCUGCCGUGCGUGGGCCUCUGUCCUUGAGUGUGGAUGGUCCUGUGAACACAGUAUAGUCAUUGCCCCCAUGAUGGGGUGACAUCCUAUGAGACCCCAGCCCAGCUGCCAAGCAGUGAGGCCACCGGCUGUGUGGCCAGGACCUGGGGGCCUCAUCCGCGGAGGACGACUCUGCCCAACGUCCAGCAGGACAGUCGGGCCUGACAGCUGCAAGCUCAGGAGCUGAGUUCUGCCAGGAACCCGCAUGAGCUGUGAGUUGGACUGUGAGCUCCAGGGGGGACGCCACCUGCAGAGGACCCCCUUAGGCCAGCCUGGGCUUCCACCAUGGGAAAACUGAGCUAAUGACAGGGCCUGGGUU